GUCGAGAAUCUUUCACAAUGGGGGCAACCCUGAUGGAGCGACGCCGCGUGGAGGAUAAGGUCUUCGGAGUGUAAACUCCUGUCAUGCGUGAACAAGGUUGCUUGGAUAAUACCUGGGCAAAUUGAUGGUAACGCAAGAGGAAGAGACGGCUAACUCUGUGCCAGCAGCCGCGGUAAUACAGAGGUCUCAAGCGUUGUUCGGAAUCACUGGGCGAAAAGGGUGCGUAGGUGGCGUGGUAAGUCAGAUGUGAAUGCCCGGGGCUCAACCUCGGAAAUGCAUCCGAUGGUGCCAUGCUAGAGUACUGGAGGUGUGACUAGAAUUCUCGGUUUAUCAGUGAAAUGCGUGGAUAUCGGGAGGAAUACCAAAGGCGUAGGCAGGUCACUGGACAGUUACUGACACUGAGGCACGAAGGCCAGGGGAGCGAACGGGAUUAGAUACCCUGGUAGUCC
rnacentral:rRNA from 1 species